rnacentral:rRNA from 1 species
GAACGACUCUCGGCAACGGAUAUCUCGGCUCUCGCAUCGAUGAAGAACGUAGCGAGAUGCGAUACUUGGUGUGAAUUGCAGAAUCCCGUGAACCAUCGAGUCUUUGAACGCAAGUUGCGCCCGACGCCUUCGGGCCGAGGGCACGUCUGCCUGGGCGUCACGC